rnacentral:rRNA from 1 species
GACGAACGCUGGCGGCGUGCCUAAUACAUGCAAGUAGAACGCUGAAGAGAGGAGCUUGCUCUUCUUGGAUGAGUUGCGAACGGGUGAGUAACGCGUAGGUAACCUGCCUUGUAGCGGGGGAUAACUAUUGGAAACGAUAGCUAAUACCGCAUAACAAUGGAUGACACAUGUCAUUUAUUUGAAAGGGGCAAUUGCUCCACUACAAGAUGGACCUGCGUUGUAUUAGCUAGUAGGUGAGGUAAUGGCUCACCUAGGCGACGAUACAUAGCCGACCUGAGAGGGGGAUCGGCCACACUGGGACUGAGACACGGCCCAGACGCCUACGGGAGGCAGCAGUAGGGAAUCUUCGGCAAUGGGGGCAACCCUGACCGAGCAACGCCGCGUGAGUGAAGAAGGUUUUCGGAUCGUAAAGCUCUGUUGUAAGUCAAGAACGGGUGUGAGAGUGGAAAGUUCACACUGUGACGGUAGCUUACCAGAAAGGGACGGCUAACUACGUG